rnacentral:rRNA from 1 species
AGAAUCAACGCUGGCGGCGUGCCUAACACAUGCAAGUCGCACGAGAAAGGGGAGCAAUCCCUGAGUAAAGUGGCGCACGGGUGAGUAACACGUGAAUCAUCUACCUCCGAGUGGGGAAUAACCUAGAGAAAUCUGGGCUAAUACCGCAUAACACUUACGAGUCAAAGCAGCAAUGCGCUUGGAGAGGAGUUCGCGGCCGAUUAGUUAGUUGGCGGGGUAAUGGCCCACCAAGACGAUGAUCGGUAUCCGGCCUGAGAGGGCGCACGGACACACUGGAACUGAAACACGGUCCAGACUCCUACGGGAGGCAGCAGUGGGGAAUUUUGCGCAAUGGGGGAAACCCUGACGCAGCAACGCCGCGUGGAGGAUGGAAAUAUCUUGGUAUGUAAACUCCUUUCGAUGGGGAAGAUUAUGACGGUACCCAUAGAAGAAGCCCCGGCUAACUUCGUGCCAGCAGCCGC